rnacentral:rRNA from 1 species
AAUGGGCGAGAGCCUGAUCCAGCCAUGCCGCGUGCAGGAAGACUGCCUAUGGGUUGUAAACUGCUUUUAUACAGGAAGAAAAGCCUUACGUGUAAGGUGAUGACGGUACUGUAAGAAUAAGGACCGGCUAACUCCGUGCCAGCAGCCGCGGUAAUACGGAGGGUCCGAGCGUUAUCCGGAAUUAUUGGGUUUAAAGGGUCCGUAGGCGGAUGAUUAAGUCAGGGGUGAAAGUUUGCAGCUCAACUGUAAAAUUGCCUUUGAUACUGGUCAUCUUGAGUUGUAUUGAAGUAGGCGGAAUAUGUAGUGUAGCGGUGAAAUGCAUAGAUAUUACAUAGAACACCAAUUGCGAAGGCAGCUUACUAAGUACUAACUGACGCUGAUGGACGAAAGCGUGGGUAGCGAACAGGAUU